rnacentral:lncRNA from 1 species
GUGUAGCUGAGCCCAUGCAGUUGGGCUGGCUAAAGAGGAUACCAAACUGUCCAUCAAACGUGAAUCUAUAGCCAGCGGGAAUGGCAGGAACGCACAAAUUGGAGCAUGUAGAUCCUGGUGUUCCUGCCGUGAAGCUUACUCCAGGAUCCUGGCAGCCCACUGUAUAAACAUCCAGGAUACUGUUUCCUUCGAUACAUAUGACCAGGGUGACGAUCAGAGAAAGAAGCAGGGAGAACUUGCAGAGAGGACCUUCCUGUGCAUAACAAAACGAAAAGAUUAGCUUGAGUCAAUGAAACACUUUUAUGAACCAUUGUUUCUCAGUAACACGCUUCUUGAAAGCUUUGAACAAUAGGAUGAGGAGUUGAGGGACUAGUGUCCGCUUUUUAUAGGAGUUUGAAGUGCUCGUGGGUCGCGAGGAUGAUUAUAAUUUAUGGGAAUUUCCCAGCAUGAUCAAUGAUCUAGUAGCAUAAUCGUGCAGAGCAGCACACUCGUUCAGCUCAGCGUGGAUAUUUUUUAAUGCACUUACACACUAUACUAAGACUGUAGUCUAAACACAUUUUGAUUUUGCAAAGGAUGUUUUCCAGAGCGUGUGUGUUGCGCUGCACGAUCACCCAAUCAGAUCAUGAUCACACAUCCAAUUUCUAGAAGCUAAUCCUCGCGACCCAUGAGCACUUCAAACUCCUAUAAAACAAGAACAAGGUUAGUUCUUCAACUACAAUCCGUCCUUGGAGAAAUGGUUUGGCUGCACACUUUGCAUCGUAUUACACCUAUUAACAACUCCUGUGCUCUUGUUUGAUCUCAGGCACUCAAUCUCUUGAAGAUCAUGGCAGCAGUGCUGGCCGUGAUCACAAUCUUAAUCACUCAAGUUGAUGCAAACAGCAGGCUCGAUGUUUACGACCUCCCGGGUUGCCAAGACCCUGGAACGAGCUACACGGCCAAGCUCAAUCCUUGCUUCUCUACAUGUGUGGCCACUCCACUCUACUAUCGGUUCACAUACUCGGGGCAAGCUGGAAUUUUGUUUAGUCUGCCCGAUUGUCUUGGCACUUCAACCAUAGUUCGAUCGAAUGUGUCACUCUGUGAUGCAACGGAAGUGAGACUAGCACAGAGUGUGAGACUCACAUGCAUUCCAUAAGCUUUGCAGUGAAGCAAAAUACCAUGUACGAAGCACAUAUAUGUUGCUGGCGGGAUCAAGAGAGAUUAUUCCCGUCGAGGUGCUCUGUAAUAAUGCGAUGCUCCCUUUGAAUGUGUUGAUUGGAUGACGCACCGGUUUGCUGUCCGAAAAGGAUACUAGCACAAAUAUGCUGCCGCCUUGAUCUUAUGCGGAAUGUAGUCGUCCGCGAGCGCGGAAAAUUUAGAAGCCGACAGUGCCUCCAGCUCGAGUUUGACACCUUUCUCCAGCAUCAGCCGCAACUGCUGGCUGCAAAACUCCACAGAAAUUUAGCACAGAGUCACAGGUUGAAAUUACUUCCAAGAGAAUGCCAAGUGCUUCAAGUAGUCUCUGUUGAGCAUGGCUUCGGCUUUUCUUCUAUCUGUCAAUCACAAAGUUGGAUCUUACCGUCGUUUGUCAGGGAAAGGAGGCACCUAUCCGGGACAUUAUGCGUUUGGCAAUCAGAAAGGAAAACUCCUAGCCAUCGAAUGCUUGGUGUAGCAAGAGCUUCAGCAUCGUAUGCCAUGGUCUGAAGGGGAAGCCGGGAUUUGCUUGAGAAUUUGACAAUUAAACAACGCUCACCGGCGAGCCGAAGCGGUAUGUAGCAAGGAUGUCCAGGCCAUACGGAUCGGCAUCCACCAAUCCAUAAACGGGCAAAUUUGUUUCAGCUGCCAGAAGCCUUAAGAAACUGAAAACAAAAUCGAAGUUACGAACGCGGUGUCAAAAACAAUCUUGUUACCUCCUUGUAGCCACGUCGGGGUACCCUCUCCCCUGUACAUGUGCGUAAGAAUCUAUGAUCAAGGUAGCAAAAGUGUGAAGAACUUACAGUUAGUACUAUACAGUUGUUCUUCCUGCAAAAUCCAUCAUUUGCCAGUCGCUGAAAGACUGAGAAGAAAGAUGUUACGAAAGAGGCAGACAGAAGAUUAUUUACCGGUUUCCUUUUCAACGACGAUAAUGUAUUCUGCACAACUGCUGAUGUCUUUGUGGUGGUCAAGGAAAAGAAUAUUAAAAAAAGGACUCAUCAUCGCAAGACUAAGAUACCCGUUACCAUCUUCGCAUCUGUGGGAAUGGGAUAGCCCUGAAUGAACAAAGUCAAGUGUAUCAACUGUGUCAAUAAACAGACUAGCCUUACGCGAGACUUGCAAACCGAGCAGUCAAUUGUCCUGUCAGCAUCCUUGAAUCGCAGCGAUCCCAUGAUUAAACUGCAAGAGCAUCAACUCUAAGACGCCAGUCUUCCACAACGUAGCGAGAACGUACCCUUUGCCGACAGAAACCUGAAAGACAGACUUGUCAGAUGGUAAAUUCAAUCAACAGUAAAGCUUACUACGUGAAGAGAAGAUCUAGUACACUUGAGCCUGACGGAAAUGUCAAUCAAAGCUUGGUUCACGGUUGCUUGAUCUGUUAUAAUAAAACCACCGCUAGCAUAAAAAGCGAGUAGAGUAGAGAGCAUGCGUGCCUUUGAAUAGACCAGGAUCGGUGUAGUAGAGGUCUCGUUUCGAUGCAUGCUUUCCCUGCUGGAGUAGCGACUGGACAAUUUGAAGGACCCUGAGCAUAGCGACUAAGAAAAUCGAAACGAUAGAUCAGUCACAAGCCGUGAAGAGACAUAUAGUACUUACGGAUUCUACGACCACUUGUUUGGAGUGAGAGGUUUUCUUGCGCCUCACACCUCUCAAAUAUCCCGCUUCGCAAACAAGCAGCACAGCAAGCAAGAAUGAGAAACCUUCCAAACAAAACUUGCUCACAGAUUCGUGUCCUCCGAAGAGCGAAGCCUGCGCAUCCGAAAUUUAUCCAGACUGAUCACCAGCAUCGAUCGAUCCUUGAUACGAGAAAGAAACUCCUUGAUAAAAUCUGCAAGAAUGCCAGAAUUUCGAUGCAUACGACAGAAUGCGGGAGGCGCUGACCUUGAAUCCUUGCCAGGAGCUCUUCCGGCGGAACCCCCGAUCCAUGUCCAGCUCCAGGAGAUUGGAGCGCCGCGGAGCGCCAGCGGCAAGCGGCCAUGGUCUCCCGCCUGUCCCUAAAACCCUAACUAUUCAAACUAGAUGCUAAAAGAAUCAUGUUAUAUGAAAAAGGUUCCAACGGCUAUCAUCGCAUCUUUUUGCUGGCUAGAGAGCAUCCGGUUGAGCUCAAGGAUUGGAUCCACAGCUCGUCCGCGAUUUUUGCUUGAAAAUGUGAAAAAGAUGGGAAUGGAAAUAUAUAUAUGCUAUAUACUAGUACAUUAUUGCGAACUAGGUGAAAAGAGACUGAAAUAAGAUGAUGUUUAAUGAGAGGUAUAUUGGAGCAUAGUUUGGGAUUGAUAACAACUUUACUUAUAGAGAGUAUGGGAAUUUCUGGGCAUAUGGUGCUAAAUUGCAUGAUAUUUUUACUAAUGGCAUAACGAUGAAAAUAAUGUGGUUGAAAUAUUAUAUGAGAUGGAAAACUAAAUUUUGGUAUGGUUUUAUUUACUUGAAUUUCUUUUUCUACAUAUCAUUCUUAAAGAUCAAAAAGCUAACGGGCUACUACCACUAGAGAGACUAAAGAAUUUUAGUUUGUUGAACCAAAAAUAAUACAAGGAAAUGUUUCUAUAAAUGGAGAUAUUGUUGUCAUGCUUUUGUAAUCCAUAACUUUAGAGUUCUGAAAACAUAGCGAAUGUGGAUAUAUUUUAUUUUAAAAGGAAAUUAGCAUUAUUGUAGGUUGUUAAAUACCCACCAAAGUAACAAUUAAAACAUAGAAAGUUGUGUGCGGUUUGGAAGAGGGAAAUUCAUAGAAUAUAAUGGAUAUAAACAUCACCAUAUACAGAGGCUAUUGUAUGAAUGGCUGUAUCUUUAAGGCAAACACAAUGCAUGGUUGCAGCUCCCAAAAAUCUAAAUACUUUAAACUAUAUAGUUUUUAUUAUGUUUGUAUAUUUUCAAUUCUCAUGAAAUAUAUAUUAUACAACCUUCUCAUUAGUGACUGCAUUGAAACUUAUUUUGCAACAAAGUAUUACUGAUAUACUAAUUACAAUAUUCAAGGGUUAGUAUUUACUUUGGUUCUUUUAUUUUUAUUCUUAGAUAUCACAUUUCUAUAAAGAUAGAUCAGCAGAUAGUAUUCUUACUUUUGGUUUUAAGCAUUACAUUCUUUCUAUUGGGGAAUUUGUUAAGGGAAGUUUACAUUCUUCCUCAUUAUGAUACCUUAGAUAGAUGUGGUUUCAUAUAGUUUUUCAACAAUAACAAAACAAUUCAGUUAGGAGUACGAUGGAAAUUUAGGGAAAGCUUACUCAUGUUGAUAUCAUGCAAUUUAGCACCAUAUACCCAAAAAUUCCCAUACUCUCUAUAAGUAAAGUUGUUAUCAAUAAAUUAGCCUUGUCCCAAACUAUGCUCCAAUAUGCCUAAACACCAUCUUAUUUCAGUCUCAUAAUGUAGUAGCACUUAUAUAGCAUAUAUACCAUCUUUUUCACAUUUUCAAGCAAUUUUACAAGGCAAUCUUAUUUCUGUCUGUGUCUCGCAAAUGGGACUUUCUUGGCUUGAGUAGCAAAAUCCACAAUUGCUUGCACCCUUUAGAAUCCCCCAAGCUUGAGCCCUAUUUAGGCCAUGUAGAAAACUUAGAAAACUCUUUAACAUGAUUCUUUUAGCAUCUAGUUUGACUUAUUAGCGUUUUAGGGACAGGCGGGAGGCCAUGGCAGCUUGCCCAAACAAGCUCCAGCCUAAUCAAGUCGUGUGUGCAAACGUUUGAAUGUGUACUUAUUAAUUUUUAUUUAAUAAUAAACAUCUUCUUUAUAAUGGUGCAGAAAAAUGUCUACUAGCAGGCUACCUUGGAUAUAAUACAUCGCUCUUGAAAAUGGCAAACUCUGCUAGAAACAUGAACUUUCACAGAUGGCUGAUUAGCUGUGGAGGGGUCAAGCUCAAGUCUACUAGAUCUUUAGUAAGCUUUACCUGGUAAUUGCUUUUACCAUCUGACUAGUCUGUCGUUCAGGUCUCUGUCGGCAUGGUACGUUGUCGCUACGAUGUGGAAGACUGGCGUCUUAGAUUCGAUGCUCUUGCAGCAUAAUCAUGGGAACAGUGCAAUUCAAGGAUACAGUCUUGGUUUGCAAGUCUCGCGUAAGGCUAGUCUGUUUAUUGACACAGUUGAUACACUUAACUUUGUUCAUUCAGGGCUAUCCCAUUCCCACAAAUGCCAAGAUGGUAACGGCUAUCUUAGUCUUGCGAUGAUGAGUCCUGGUUUUUUAUAGUCUUUUCCUUGAUCACCACAAAGACAUCCAGAAUACAUUAUCGUAGUCAAAAGGAAACCAGUAUGUAAUCUUCUGUCUGCCUCUUUCGUAACAUCUUUAUUCUCAGCUACUGGCAAACGUGAAAAUUCUUCACACUUUUUCUACCUUAGGAGAUAACAAAGAUUUUUUUUUUUCCUAUUGUUUCAGGCUUCUGGCAGCUGAAACAAACUUGCCCGUUUGUGGACUGGUGGUUGUUAAUCCUUAUGGCUUGGACAUCCUUGCUACAUGACGCUUCGGGUUCGGCUUGCUGGUGAGCGUUGUUUAGUUCUCAAUUCUCAACCACUCGCGAGGAGCUUGUCCGAGAAAUGCCAGGCGAUCCAGGUAGUGUAGCCUGGGGGAGCUUGCUGGGCAUUCAGUGUGAGAUGAAUAGACAAGCGCUCACCGCAUCCGUGUGUUUUCUUCAGACCAUGGCAUACGAUGCUGAAGCUCUUGCUACAGCAAACAUUUGAUGGCCUAAGAAGAUUGUCAAUUCCAUAAUGUCCCGGAUAGGUGCCUCCUUUCCUUGACAAAACACGGUAAGAUCCGGCAGGUCAUUUUCUUAAAAAGCAAGGUAACAAGUAUCCUUUUAGACUCCUUCAAAAUCAGAACAGGAAGUCGUAGAUAGGAUUUGACAAGUUCUAGUUUCUUCUCUCGAAAAGAUUAGAAACGAUGCUUCUAGAGAAGCGCCAUGGUUAGCUUGGAUCCAUAGCUUUCAGUCCCAACCAGCGAACAGCUUGUACAUAUAUGUGCCAUUCUAUUUUGUUUCACUGCUUUAUGGAGCACAUGAGAAUCUCACACUCUGUGAUCCAAAUUGAUAUAAAUUAUAAUCAUCCACGCAACCCACGAGCACUUCAACCUCCUAUAAAUAGGGAACACUAGUUCUUCAACUCUUCAUUCAGUUCCAGCAUUGUGUUACUGAGGAGCAAUGGUUCAUUGAAUUGUUUCUUUGAUUCAUCGGUUGUCAAGCUAAGCGUUUUCCAAUUGUUAUGCGCAGGAAGUAGUUCCUCUCUGCAAGUUCUCGCUGCUGCUGUCUAUGAUAAUCACUUUGCUCAUAUGCAUCGAAGGAAACAGUACGCUGGAUGUUUAUCUACUGGGCUGCCAGGAUCCAGGAGUAAGCUUCACGGCAGGAACACCAGGUCCUACAUGCUCCAAUUUGUGCGUGCCUGCCAUUCCCGCUGGUUAUAGAUUCACGUUUGAUGGACAGUUUGGUCUCCUCUUUAGCCAGCCCAACUGCAUGGGCUCAACUACACGCUUGAAUUCCAGCCAGGAAGUUUGUGCAGUGGUGAGCUCCAGCCCAAUCAAGUCUUUCAAGUUUGUGUGUGCC